rnacentral:tRNA from 1 species
GGGCCCGUAGCUCAGCAUGGACAGAGCGCCGGCCUUCUAAGCCGGAGGUCGAGGGUUCGAGUCCCUCCGGGCCCG